rnacentral:lncRNA from 1 species
CCUUAACCCUGCCUUGAACCCAGCUUCCAGUCCAGACCUGGGGGCAGCACACAUCUGUCCCUGGCUGGAGGAGAGGAGUGCACACGGCAGUCCAACCAGGCAUGAUUUCAGCGGGAUGAUCUCCACAAUAGAAGUAUGGUACCCUGAGACCAUGUGGAAAACACUGGCUGAUGUACCAUGGCUGA